rnacentral:misc_RNA from 1 species
UAACCACUCAAGCCUGGCUUGGUAUUGGAGUUCGCGGUUCCGCGGCCCCUAAAAUCAGUGGCGGUGCCGGUGGGCUCUAAGCGUAGUAAAUCUCCUCGCUAUAGGGUCCCUCCGGUUGCCCGCCAGAACCCCCCCCAUUUUUUCA